AGAGUUUGAUCAUGGCUCAGAUUGAACGCUGGCGGCAUGGCUAAAACAUGCAAGUCGAACGAGCCCUUCGGGGUGAGUGGCGAAAGGGCGAGUAACGCGAUCGAACGUAUCCCGAGGUGGGGGAUAGCCGGGGGAAACUCCGGGUAAUACCCCAUGUCCUCUACGGAGAAAAGGCUUGCUGCCUUGGGAGCGGCGAUCGUCCUAUCAGGUAGUUGGUGAGGUAACGGCUCACCAAGCCGAAGACGGGUAGCGGGUGUGAGAGCACGACCCGCCGCAUCGGGACUGAGACACUGCCCGGACUCCUACGGGAGGCUGCAGUAACGAAUCUUCCGCAAUGGGCGAAAGCCUGACGGAGCAAUGCCGCGUGUGGGAUGAAGCUGCUUCGCAGUGUAAACCACUGUCAGGGUCUAGCAAAGCUGAGCAGACCCAAAGGAAGGACCGGCUAAACUCGUGCCAGCCGCCGCGGUAAUUC
rnacentral:rRNA from 1 species